rnacentral:rRNA from 1 species
AGAACGAACGCUGGCGGCAUGCCUAAUACAUGCAAGUCGAACGAACUCUUCGGAGUUAGUGGCGCACGGGUGCGUAACGCGUGGGAAUCUGCCCCUUGGUUCGGAAUAACAGUUGGAAACGACUGCUAAUACCGGAUGAUGACGAAAGUCCAAAGAUUUAUCGCCAAGGGAUGAGCCCGCGUAGGAUUAGCUAGUUGGUGAGGUAAAGGCUCACCAAGGCAACGAUCCUUAGCUGGUCUGAGAGGAUGAUCAGCCACACGUGGGACUAGAGACACGGCCCAGACUCCGUACGGGAGGCAGACA